rnacentral:rRNA from 1 species
GACGAACCGUGCGAACGUUAUUCGGAAUCACUGGGCUUAAAGCGCGUGUAGGCGGGCCGGCACGUCGGUCGCUGAAAUCCCCCGGCUCAACCGGGGAAGGGGCGCCGAUACGACCGGCCUGGAGGGGCGUAGGGGGAUCGGGAACUUCCGGUGGAGCGGUGAAAUGCGUUGAGAUCGGAAGGAACGCCCGUGGCGAAAGCGCGGUCCUGGACGCCUGCUGACGCUGAGACGCGAAAGCCAGGGGAGCGAACGGG